UUAGUUUACUUUACAAUACGUACAAGAUGGUUACAGUACACUAAGGUUUUGCAGUUAUCAAUGUUUUUUACAAGUAUGGUAAUAAUGUUGUUAACACUUUUUCAACAGUACGCCAGACCAGCCGCCCAGACAGGCCCCAGCCAACUGAUGAGGAUGCUGGGAUUGCAGGUUCUACUUCUGUAAGCCGACCUCCUCUAAGGCGCCCAUCACAGGGCUCGGCUAACUUACCCAGGAGGCCAAGUAAGACACGGCGUCUUGAAUCCGAAUCUGCGGCUCCAUCUUCCCCACCCAGGCGGCGCAUCUCCGCAGUCUCACCCCAGCCACCACAAGCACUAUUGGCUAGUCCACAAAGUGAUGAGCCUCGAUCACCUCAGUUAUCUGAACCAACCUUGAUGCCCGACGUUGGCCAGCAGGAACAAGACCAACAGGCCACCUACACACUAAACCUAACACCCGUUGUCCCGACCCAGCCAACCCAGCCGCAGGAUAUCCCCCAAGCCUCCAUUACUCCACAACUGCUCCAAGCUCCACCCCAGCAACAAGUACCCGAUGACUUUUGGUCCAGUUGGACAACCCAACAGACCCAAAACAAUGCCUGCCUGACCGCCCACACCCAACACCUUGCCAGUCUGCCCCAUCAUCUGCCGCGCAUUAGUCGCAACUCGGGCAGACUGAUU